UAUUGGAGUGUCAAAAUGACCAGACGAAAACCUGGAAAACGAUGGAGAAGGACUGGUAAUGAAGAAGACCCAAAUAAACGACCAAGACGGGCUGCACAAUUGUCAUCCCUCCCUGCAGCCGCCAGUGUUCAUGUGGAGACUGAUCAGCAAUAUUUAGGAGGUAGCAGCAGCGGAACACAGUGGGGGGGGUGCCUCCUGGAGGAACCCAAAACGCUGCACUUCAAGGGGAACAUGCCCAACAUCCAGGUGUCCAUGCAGGAUGUACCGCACUCAAGUCUCUCACCACCUGCCAGGUACACACACCCUGUCUGUCUGUCUGUAAUGAUGUACAGUAUAUUUUGUCACUGAGCAGGGGUCUCAUUUAUAAAGCGUGCGUACGCACAAAAAAGGCCUUGAAACAGGCGUACGCCACUUUCGACGCAUAAGUUGUGAUUUAUAAAAACAAACUUGACGGGAUAAUUUGCGCACCUGCACGCAAACUCUGACCCAUGCGUACGAACGUUUUGGAGACGGCGCAGUUUGGCGACACCGAUGGUGAGCUGGAGUUAAAUGUCUUUUUGGUCACUUUUAGGCAAAAAAUCAAAGAAAAUUAUACAGCUACAGAAAGAUAAUACAAAUAUAAUUUCACUCACCAAGCAUAUCACUUGAAGCAAAUAUCCAUCCAUUCUUAAAUGUCCGCGUCAGCGAGCGCGUUGGGCCGUUUAGUGAAACUGACGCAUAAUAUAGCCUGACGUAAAACCGUAAAUCUUCAUUAUGAGUAGUAAUCAUAAAUAGGCUACAGUGCAUGUUCACAAUAACAGUUUAAAUAAAUAAAUUAAUAAUUUACUAAACUAUAUGUUU
ensembl:lncRNA